rnacentral:rRNA from 1 species
UACGUAGGGGGCUAGCGUUGUCCGGAUUUAUUGGGCGUAAAGAGCGUGUAGGCGGCCAGGUAGGUCUGCUGUGAAAACUCGAGGCUCAACCCCGGGUCGGCCGUGCCGACUGAAAAGCUGGAGCACUGUAGAGGCAGGUGGAAUUCCGGGUGUAGCGGUGAAAUGCGUAGAUAUCUGGAGGAACACCGGUGGCGAAGGCGGCAUCCUGGACCGACGACUGACGCUGAGGCACGAAAGCGUGGGGAGCAAACA